GACGAACGCUGGCGGCGUGCUUAACACAUGCAAGUCGAACGGAAAGGCCCUGCUUUUGUGGGGUGCUCGAGUGGCGAACGGGUGAGUAACACGUGAGUAACCUGCCCUUGACUUUGGGAUAACUUCAGGAAACUGGGGCUAAUACCGGAUAGGAGCUCCUGCUGCAUGGUGGGGGUUGGAAAGUUUCGGCGGUUGGGGAUGGACUCGCGGCUUAUCAGCUUGUUGGUGGGGUAGUGGCUUACCAAGGCUUUGACGGGUAGCCGGCCUGAGAGGGUGACCGGCCACAUUGGGACUGAGAUACGGCCCAGACUCCUACGGGAGGCAGGAGUGGGGAAUAUUGCACAAGGGGCGGAAGCCUGAUGCAGCAACGCCGCGUGCGGGAGGACGGCCUUCGGGUUGGAAACCGCUUUCGCCUGUGACGAAGCGUGAGUGACGGUAAUGGGUAAAGAAGCACCGGCUAACUACGU
rnacentral:rRNA from 1 species